GGAUGAUCCCUUCAUCUCCAAAUCAGCAGAUCGGCAAGCUCAAUUCCCCCCGUCGGGCAACCUCACAUAUUCCGGGGUUAGGACGUGGACAUCUACCAACCGAGCAAGCCCGGGAUCCUACAGCUCAGCAGUGGCAGCUGAGUGCACCACCCAGGGAGCACCCAGGAUGCCCUUCUGAGUCCAGGCAGAGGGCCCCACACUGGCAGAACCAUGAGGCUCCUUCUGCUCCUCUGCUUGGCUGCUCUAGAGUCGCCAGCAGUUUCUCCGUGGACCCUGAGGGAGGUGAGUAGCCCAGCACACUGGAGGGAGAAGGGCCCCCAGCCCCGGUGGGUGCCUUGGCUGGCAGGGGGUUGCUGAUGGAGUCGGGGUGUUUGCUGGUGGACAGCUGGAAACUGGCGCCUGGCCUCGGCCCCUGCAGGGCCCUGGGGGAGUGGCGAGAAGCAGGCUGAGCCGGCCAGGUGGGACCUCCAGGGGACGUGGGGCAGGGAGAGCGCUUGGCUUCCCCUUGGGCUGCGGGGGGAGUGGUGGGGACAAAGGGCGUAUCCCCAUCGCUCUACCACAGGUGCCUGAUCUGCGGGGUGGGUGUGACCCCAGAGAGGGCGGGUGGCAUGCUGGU
rnacentral:lncRNA from 1 species